GAGAUUUUAUAUAUCAUUUGAAAUAUCUGAUAUAUUAUAUGAGCUAUCUUGAAGUUAGAAUAAAUAGUAAAACGGCUUGCCAUAUAUACUCAUUGAAUCUAUUAUCAUUAAUAGACAGUACAUCAUCAAUAUAUCGGAAAGGGAUAUUAAAAGACGGGUCAAUUUCUUUUCUCCUGUCUGUACAAAUCCAUAAGAAUACGAAAACAAAUAGAAUUGCCAUUGCGAGCAAAGGCGGAUGUCAUACUGUUGUCAAGUUGCCAGACGACCUUGCCAUUGCUAGGUUACCGUCAGCAAUUUUGAAAUAAAAUUUAUACUAAAAAAACACAACUACCUACUGCUAGGUACAUGUAGUUCUGAGGAUCAUACAAAUUGUUGACACCUACUUUGUAUAUUGAAUAUCAUGGUUCUAUGCUCAGGAAUACUAGAAUUAUAUACAAAAAACAUAAAAAAAAAUACUGUUGACCAGUGUUUAUAGUAAUCGAGACCAUCUUGGACCAUCCCCUUAUUAAAAAGCACAACUUUAUAUAAUGGUUUACAUUAUGCCAUAAUUCCAUAAAGAUGAAUGUGUCUAUCCUUUUCCGAGAAUUUGUCGGGACAAUAAAAUUAUGGGGAAAAAGAAAAGAAAAAAACAACCAAUAACAAUAUGCCCCCUCGACCUUUGAAAGGGAUAACAUAGAACGCCCUAUAGCAGAUGCAAGGUUAUUAAACAAUAGGGGAUCCUAUAGACAGACACAGGGAUCCUAUAGAACGCACUAUAGAAUAUGCGCGAUUAUUAAACAAAAGGGGAUCAUAUAGACCGCCAAGGUAUAAACAAUAGGGGAUCCUAUAGACAGACCCGGGGAUCCUAUAGAACGCACUAUAGAAUAUGCGCGAUUAUUAAACAAAAGGGGAUCUUAUAGACCGCCCAG
rnacentral:lncRNA from 1 species